rnacentral:rRNA from 1 species
UACAGAGGGGGCAAGCGUUGUUCGGAAUUACUGGGCGUAAAGGGCGCGUAGGUGGCCCGCUAAGUCGAACGUGAAAUCCCCGAGCUCAACUCGGGAACUGCGUCCGAUACUGGUGGGCUUGAAUCCGGGAGAGGGAUGGCGGAAUUCCAGGUGGUAGCGGUGAAAUGCGUAGAUAUCUGGAGGAACACCGGUGGCGAAGGCGGCAUCCUGGACCGGCAUUGACGCUGAGGCGCGAAAAGCUAGGG